UGGGGAAUAUUGCACAAUGGGCGCAAGCCUGAUGCAGCCAUGCCGCGUGUGUGAAGAAGGCCUUCGGGUUGUAAAGCACUUUCAGCGAGGAGGAAGGUGGUGAGCUUAAUACGCUCAUCAAUUGACGUUACUCGCAGAAGAAGCACCGGCUAACUCCGUGCCAGCAGCCGCGGUAAUACGGAGGGUGCAAGCGUUAAUCGGAAUUACUGGGCGUAAAGCGCACGCAGGCGGUUUGUUAAGUCAGAUGUGAAAUCCCCGGGCUCAACCUGGGAACUGCAUUUGAAACUGGCAAGCUAGAGUCUCGUAGAGGGGGGUAGAAUUCCAGGUGUAGCGGUGAAAUGCGUAGAGAUCUGGAGGAAUACCGGUGGCGAAGGCGGCCCCCUGGACGAAGACUGACGCUCAGGUGCGAAAGCGUGGGGCAGCAAACAGGAUUAGAUACCCUGGUAGUCCAGCGCUGUAAACGGAUGUCGAUUUGGAGGUUGUGCCCUUGAGGCGUGGCUUCCGGAGCUAACGCGUUAAAGUCGACCGCCUGGGGAGUACGGCGCAAGGUU
rnacentral:rRNA from 1 species